GAUGAAGAACGUAGUGAAAUGCGAUACGUAAUGUGAAUUGCAGAAUUCAGUGAAUCAUCGAGUCUUUGAACGCACAUUGCGCCCCCUGGUAUUCCGGGGGGCAUGCCUGUUCGAGCGUCAUUUCACCACUCAAGCCUGGCUUGGUGUUGGGCGACGUCCUCUUUGGGGACGCGCCUCGAAACGCUCGGCGGCGUGGCACCGGCUUUAAGCGUAGCAGAAUCUUUCGCUUUGGAAGUCGGGGCCCCGUCUGCCGGAAGACCUGCUCGCAAGGUUGACCUCGGAUCAGGCAGGGAUACCCGCUGAACUUAAGCAUAUCAAUAAGCGGAGGA
rnacentral:misc_RNA from 1 species